AAUGAAGUCGCCGUGUUCAAUGUUAUUUAAUAAUUUAUGUUCCCAAAAUCAGGUAAAGUUUUUGCAUGUUCAUGGUAGUUUCUGAGAGGACUUCCUUAUCUCUUUUGGAUAUAUUUACAUAAUUCUGUUUGAGUAGGCUAUAAUUGCAAAAUUAUGAUCCUAUAACUUCCGUUUCAGCACUAUUUUCUCGCAGCUGCUGUUGCAUAACAAAAUAAACUGAUCAGCUUAAUUCCCAAAUAUCACUUAACGAAAAUUAUUGUCCCAGUGGACAUCUUCAAGCUUGCUGCCGGAAAGAAAUCUUUUCAAUUUGAAUUCAAAUUUCAUCAGCUGUCAGUAAAAGAG